UACAGAGGUCCCGAGCGUUGUUCGGAUUCACUGGGCGUAAAGGGUGCGUAGGUGGACCUGAAAAGUUUGAUGUGAAAGCUCAGGGCUUAACCCUGAAAUGGCAUUGAAUACUGUCGGGCUGGAGGUUUGGAGGGGGGACUGGAAUUCUUGGUGUAGCAGUGAAAUGCGUAGAUAUCAAGAGGAACACCAGUGGCGAAGGCGAGUCCCUGGACAACACCUGACACUGAGGCACGAAAGCUAGGGGAGCAAACAGG
rnacentral:rRNA from 1 species